AUUGAACGCUGGCGGCAUGCUUUACACAUGCAAGUCGAACGGUAACAGGCCUUCGGGUGCUGACGAGUGGCGAACGGGUGAGUAAUGCAUCGGAACGUGCCCAGAGGUGGGGGAUAACGCAGCGAAAGCUGUGCUAAUACCGCAUGUGAUCUGAGGAUGAAAGCGGGGGACCAGGCAGCAAUGUUUGGCCUCGCGCCUUUGGAGCGGCCGAUGUCAGAUUAGGUAGUUGGUGGGGUAAAGGCCUACCAAGCCGACGAUCUGUAGCUGGUCUGAGAGGACGACCAGCCACACUGGGACUGAGACACGGCCCAGACUCCUACGGGAGGCAGCAGUGGGGAAUUUUGGACAAUGGGCGCAAGCCUGAUCCAGCAAUGCCGCGUGCGGGAAGAAGGCCUUCGGGCUGUAAACCGCUUUUGUACGGAACGAAAAGGCUCUGGCUAAUACCUGGGGCUGAUGACGGUACCGUAAGAAUAAGCACCGGCUAACUACGUG
rnacentral:rRNA from 1 species